UUUGGCAGCUCUCCUUUGCACUUUUUCUUGUUCCAUAAUGUCCUUUUGUUUUUUAAGGACCGAUGCCCAGAACUGCAUCGCAUAUUCAAGGUGAGGUCUUGCCAUUAACUUGUAAAGAGGGAAAAUAAUAUCAUCCUGUGAGUCAAUACCCCCACCUUUAUACCUGCCAGCAUCUUCGUGGCCUUUGCAGCUGCUGACUGGCACUGUGCACUGUCGCCAAGUCCGUUGACUGCAAUUAUUCCAAAAGUCUUCUCCUUAGUAGUUUUUUUCCCAAGAAGAUGGCAUUUCAAAUAUAUAGGCAAGGACAACUUGGUCUAGUUAUAUAUGAAAUAUAGACCGUAUAUGCCAGCCGAAUGCAGGAUGUAGCGUUUAGAGCCGAUUGAGAGAACAUAGAGUGUGAUAAACCAUUUAUAAAACCCCAACUCAAUGGUAAGGGUUUAA